GGUCAGGAGCCCUUUUCCCCACCGACUGUGGGCGCUUCAGCGCUCAAUCCUUGCCUAUCAAAGAAUGGUGUUAUAUCACGAAUGGAAAAAACAAAACAAAACCAUGAAUGGACGUGAAAAGGGGAUGACCCUUUGUAAGCUCUUGGACGCCUGUGGCCACUCUGUCCAUCCAUUUGCAGCACCGCAGGAAGUGAAUCUCUGCACUCGGUAACUCUCUCCGCCUUAGCAGGUCUAGGGGUCUAGGGCUAGUGUGGGGUCUGCUCCGCGUUUUGUGGGAGCCUGGCGGGCCGGCUGGUUUCCCAGGGCGCCUCAUCUUUUCACUCGCCGGCGCUGGAGCUGGUGACUCACGCGGCGGCCGGCUCUCGAGCGCUCCUCCCCGUCGGCCCUCCCCACGGGGUCGCCCUCCUUGCCUCCACCCUAGGGUCCCCACCUGUCGUGGCGUCCCUGUCCCGCCCCUCCUCUCUUAUCUCCUGCCGCUCCCUGCGGGAUUUUUCCACCCCCGGGCAGGAGGCGCGCAGAUCAGAGGUCAAGGGAUGGCGGGCGCAGGCCGCCACGUGCCCCAGCGCGGCCCCGCCCGUGACUCAGCCACGCGGCUGUCGAAGAACCUCGGCUGGGGGGCGUGGGGAGCCAGAAUUUGGGGAUGAACGUCAGGGAACCCAACCCGGCUCCAAAAGGCAGCGAACCAAGUACUUCCACUGGGAGAGGCUGCACACCCUGGCGCCCCUCCUCCGAGGGACCGGAAGCGGCCGAGCCCCUCGGAGGCCAGGGUCCCGGGUGACUCCUUUACUCCCUCCAGCCUCAGUGGCCUGCCAUUCGCCCCUAGACCUGCUCGGCGGCGAGUGAGCUGACCGCACAUAAAUACUUAGCAAAAGUUUUUCUGGAAAAGAAGAAAGCCCCAGUGCGUCCAAAGUAGAGGGGACUUUCCUCUUCUUAUAAAAGUUGUCAUCCUUGGUA
rnacentral:lncRNA from 1 species